rnacentral:tRNA from 1 species
UCGCGGGGUAGAGCAGUGGUCAGCUCACCGGCCUCAUAAGCCGGAGGUCGUGGGUUCGAAUCCCACCCCCGCUAG